rnacentral:rRNA from 1 species
UAUUGGUCAAUGGGGGGAACCCUGAACCAGCGACACCGCGUGAGGGAAGAGGGUUUUCGGAUUGUAAACCUCUGGUGUCGGUGAAGAUAAUGACGGUACCCGAUGAUGAAGCUUCGGCGAACUACGUGCCAGCAGCCGCGGUAAUACGUAGGUUGCAAGCGUUGUCCGGAAUUACUGGGUGUAAAGGGAGCGUAGGCGGGAUAGCAAGUCAGGUGUGAAAACUAUGGGCUCAACCCAUAGAUUGCAAUUGAAACUGCUGUUCUUGAGUGAAGUAGAGGUAAGCGGAAUUCCUAGUGUAGCGGUGAAAUGCGUGGAUAUUAGGAGGAACAUCAGUGGCGAAGGCGGCUUACUGGGCUUUUAAUGACGCUGAGGCUAGAAAGCGUGGGGAGCAAACA